rnacentral:rRNA from 1 species
AACGAACGCUGGCGGCAUGCCUAACACAUGCAAGUCGAACGAGACCUUCGGGUCUAGUGGCGCACGGGUGCGUAACGCGUGGGAACCUGCCCUUAGGUUCGGAAUAACUCCCCGAAAGGGGUGCUAAUACCGGAUAAUGUCUUCGGACCAAAGAUUUAUCGCCUUUGGAUGGGCCCGCGUUGUAUUAGCUAGUUGGUAGGGUAAAAGCCUACCAAGGCGACGAUCCAUAGCUGGUCUGAGAGGAUGAUCAGCCACACUGGGACUGAGACACGGCCCAGACUCCUACGGGAGGCAGCAGUGGGGAAUAUUGGACAAUGGGCGAAAGCCUGAACCAGCAAUGCCGGGUGAGUGAUGAAGGCCUUAGGGUUGUAAAGCUCUUUUACCCGGGAUGAUAAUGACAGUACCGGGAGAAUAAGCUCCGGCUAACUCCGUG